UACGUAGGGUGCGAGCGUUAAUCGGAUUUACUGGGCGUAAAGCGUGCGCAGGCGGCCCGUUAAGACAGGUGUGAAAUCCCUGGGCUCAACCUAGGAAUUGCGCUUGUGACUGGCGGGCUCGAGUACGGUAGAGGGGGGUGGAAUUCCCGGUGUAGCGGUGAAAUGCGUAGAUAUCGGGAGGAAGGCCGGUGGCGAAGGCGGCCUCCUGGGCCUGCACUGACGCUGAGGCGCGAAAGCGUGGGGAGCAAACAGG
rnacentral:rRNA from 1 species